rnacentral:rRNA from 1 species
ACGGGAGGCAGCAGUGAGGAAUAUUGGUCAAUGGGCGGGAGCCUGAACCAGCCAAGUCGCGUGAGGGAUGACGGCCCUAUGGGUUGUAAACCUCUUUUGCCGGGGAGCAAAGUGCCGCACGUGUGCGGUUUGGAGAGUACCCGGAGAAAAAGCAUCGGCUAACUCCGUGCCAGCAGCCGCGGUAAUACGGAGGAUGCGAGCGUUAUCCGGAUUUAUUGGGCUUAAAGGGUGCGUAGGCGGACGCUUAAGUCAGCGGUAAAAUUGCGGGGCUCAACCUCGUCGAGCCGUUGAAACUGGGUGCCUUGAGUGGGCGAGAAGUACGCGGAAUGCGUGGUGUAGCGGUGAAAUGCAUAGAUAUCACGCAGAACUCCGAUUGCGAAGGCAGCGUACCGGCGCCCAACUGACGCUGAAGCACGAAGGCGUGGGUAUCGAACAGGAUUAGAUACCCUGGUAGUCCACGCAGUAAACGAUGAAUGCUAGUUGUCCGGGGCGAUUGAGUUCUGG